rnacentral:lncRNA from 1 species
CAGGCUGGGGUCGAAUCGGAGCUGUUGCUGCUGGCCUACGCUAGAGCCACAGCAAGGCCAGAUCUAGCCAUGUCACGGCAACACCUGAUCCUUAAACCUACUGAGCAUGGCCAGGGAUUGAACCCUCAAUCUCAUGGUUCUAGUUGGAUUCGUUUCCUCUGUGCCACGACAGGAACUCCAGAAUUGGAUACCUUUAAUAUCUUCAUGGAAACUUCAUUUUGGCCUUUUGUCAAGGUGAGUUUUUUUUUUCUCUAUGCAGAGCACUAAAUACUCAAAGGUAUUAAACUGAGCUGUUAAAUUAAUGAAUUUUACGUGUUAUACAGUCUUAAUUUGGUACUUUAAAUAAUACUAGGUAGGCCUUCUGCUUAUAAUACUCCAAUUGUUCAGACAGCAGAUUUAGAAAGAACAUUUUUUUGGUUUUUGCAAUCAGUUUAUUUACCAUUUAAAUUUACUGUAAAUGAUAAUUUGUACUGAUUUUCUGUUUGAAUAUUCACUUUUAAAUUUCUCGUGAAGAUUGUUACUUUCUAUUGUUUUUGUAUAGAAUGACAUUGCUAAAAUAAAAAGAGCCUACAAAAAUACAUAGUAACAUAUGUUAACACAUAUAUGUAUAUGUAACAUAUAUGUCUGUAAAUAUAUAUGUAUAUAGAUAUAUGCAUAAAUGAGUGUUUCAUGUUUAUUAAGAGUUUAUAUUUCCAAGGUCCAUUUAAAAGUCAGCCAUUUUUAUCUUUUUUCUUUUUCGGGCCACACCUGUGGCAUAUGGAAGUUCCCAGACUAGGGGUCGAAUUGGAGCUUUAGCUGCUGGCCUACGCCACAACCACAGCAAUGCCAGAUCUGAGCCAUAUCUGCUACCUAUGCUGCAGCAUGUAGCAACACCAGAUUCUUAACACACUGAGCAAGGCCAAGGAUUGAACCUGCAUCUUCAUUAAUACUACUUGUGUUCUCAAUCCACUGAGCCACAAAGGGAACUCCCUAAAAGUCUGUCAUUUGAAAAAUAAAACAUAUUUCCCACAGACUCAUAUGUUUAGCAGAGUGGUUAGGUUGGCAGAUCAUUUUAUUUAUUUUUUUAAUUUUAUGUUACAUGGUUUUGUUUUGUUCUUUUUUUUUUGAGUGUAGUUGAUUUACAGUGUUGUGUCAAUUUCUUCUUACUCCAGAUUCCUGGUGGUCUAGUGACUAGGAUUUUCAGAUCAUUUUAUUUUAUUUAUUUAUUUAUUUAUUUGUCUUUUUGCUAUUUCUUGGGCCGCCCCCGUGGCAUAUGGAGGGUCCCAGGCUAGGGGUCGAAUCGGAGCUGUAGUCUUCGUCCUCCGCCAGAGCCACAGCAACGCGGAUCCGAGCCGCGUCUGCAACCUACACCACAGCUCACACAGCAACGCCAGAUNGUUUACAGUGUUGUGUCAAUUUCUUCUUACUCCAGAUUCCUGGUGGUCUAGUGACUAGGAUUUUCAGAUCAUUUUAAAACUCAAUUUCAUUUAUAAUUCAACUGAGUUAAAGUACUAACAGUCUAAAUCCUGCAUAUUGAUAUGACGGGAAUACAUUGUGCAGAAGAAAUAAUACAGUGAUGUCAAUGAUUAUUCAAAAUAAUAAGAAUAAAUUAUAAUUAUUGUAUUAGUUAUUUGUCAUGUUAUAUUGCCUCUGAAUGUUAUAGGCACAACAAAAAAAUUAAGAAAUAUUUUUACUGGAAAACUCCCACUUCCUUUUCUAAUCCCUUCCCCCAUGUAUUUUCUCUCAGAUCCUUAGGCAUUUGUCUACCUUGAGAGUUCCAGAAGCAACAACAUUGACAUUAACCCAUAUGGGGACCUUAGUUGAGGAGGAGGUGGCAGUACAGCAGUGGGAAGAGGACAGAUCUGUUAAUUUUUGCAUCUAUAGUUCUAUUUUUGGUAGUUUACUUAGAAAGUCACCUCCUAUCUGACUUUAUAAUGUCUUGUCCUAUUGUUUUAAUCACAGUACUAUUAAGACCUUAUUCUUAACUUUAUGUUUUUUUAAUUCAGUGAAUUUUAUGUUUAUAGUUGUAUAAUCACUAUCACAACCUAAUUUUAGAACAUUUCCAUCUGAAACUCCCAGUCCAUCUCUCCCCCUCAGUCUUUCCCCUUUAGUAAGCACAAGUUUUUCAAAGUCUGUGGAUCUGUUUCUUUUCUGCAAAUAGGUAUUUUUUUUUUUUUUUUGGUCUUUGCUAGGGCUGCACCCAUGGCAUGUGGAGGUUCCCAGGCUAGGGUUCUAAUUGGAGCUGUAGCCACCAGCCUAUGGCACAGCCACAGCGAUGAGGGAUCUGAGCCACAUCUGCAACCUACACCACAGCUCAUGGGAACGCCGGAUCCUUAACCCACUGAGUGAGGCCAGGGGCUGAAUCCUCAACUUCAUGGUUCCUAGUUGCAUUUGUUAACCACUGAGCCAUGACAGGAACUACUCAUUUUAGAUUCCACAUAUAAGUGUUUUAGCAUGUGAUGUUUGUCUCUCAUUGUCUGACUAACUUCACUUUAGCAUUAUAAUUUUUAGGCCCAUACAUGUUGCUAUAAAUGCCAUUAUUUCAUUCUUUUUUAUGGCUGAGUAAUAUGCCAUGGUAUAUAUGUAUCUCAUCUUCCUUAUCCACUCCUCUUUCGAUGGAAAUUUAGCUUUCUUCCAUUUCUUGGCUAUUGUGUACAGCACUACAAU